AGAUUAAGUUAUUAAGGGCGCACGGUGGAUGCCUUGGCACUAGAAGCCGAUGAAGGACGUUACUAACGACGAUAUGCUUUGGGGAGCUGUAAGUAAGCUUUGAUCCAGAGAUUUCCGAAUGGGGAAACCCAGCAUGAGUUAUGUCAUGUUAUCGAUAUGUGAAUACAUAGCAUAUCAGAAGGCACACCCGGAGAACUGAAACAUCUUAGUACCCGGAGGAAGAGAAAGAAAAUUCGAUUCCCUUAGUAGCGGCGAGCGAAACGGGAAGAGCCCAAACCAACAAGCUUGCUUGUUGGGGUUGUAGGACACUCUGUACGGAGUUACAAAGGACGACAUUAGACGAAUCAUCUGGAAAGAUGAAUCAAAGAAGGUAAUAAUCCUGUAGUCGAAAAUGUUGUCUCUCUUGAGUGGAUCCUGAGUACGACGGAGCACGUGAAAUUCCGUCGGAAUCUGGGAGGACCAUCUCCUAAGGCUAAAUACUCUCUAGUGACCGAUAGUGAACCAGUACCGUGAGGGAAAGGUGAAAAGCACCCCGGAAGGGGAGUGAAAUAGAACCUGAAACCGUGUGCUUACAAGUAGUCAGAGCCCGUUAAUGGGUGAUGGCGUGCCUUUUGUAGAAUGAACCGGCGAGUUACGAUUUGAUGCAAGGUUAAGCAGUAAAUGUGGAGCCGUAGCGAAAGCGAGUCUGAAUAGGGCGUUUAGUAUUUGGUCGUAG
rnacentral:rRNA from 1 species